CGUUUUUCUCCUCUCAGUCAAGCAAGCAAGCGACGGCAGAAAUGAAGUUUGAAAAAGCUCAUAAACAAGCUGUGGUUGCUCUAAAACAUUUGAGCCUUGGGAAAUUAGUCUUUGCCAAGCAGCGGGAGGCCACACUGUGGCGGGCUAACAACAAGCGCCCCCCUUCCAACUAGCAUACUGGGAGCACAGACGGCAGGCCAUAGGGAGCAGGCCUGUGGUUUGUCCUGGCGCUGCUAAUGGAUCCAGACCGGUCCUUGGGAGCAAGACGGGGGAAGUUGAGCCGGCUGAGACCCUGUGUCUCAGACACCCGCAGGGUGGGAGGAAGCGCAGAUCAGCACGGGAAGUGAGAGCACCUGUGCAGGUCAGUGGCGGGCUGUCAAGCUUCACUAAUUUUAAAAUUGACCCUUGACACCCAUUCCCACGGCGCACCAUGGCCGACAAAGUUCUGGUUUCCAGUUGGACUCCUGCUUCUAAUUAUCUGCUAAACAAAGUUGUUAUCCGAUAAGGGCUACUUAGAACACCAAAUCGCUGAUUGUGUCCUUUGCUGGGUGUUGUUACAAAUGGGCCCAUUACCACACAACAGGGAUGUGGUGAGUGAUUCAAUAAAUUGGGGCUAAAGCUGAUAAUGGCCGUUGCUGGAGUGGUCGACCCACUGUGAGGGAUUAUCUUGGCUAUUGAUACAGCACUGACACACACACACACACGCACACACGCACACACAGCCACUUGUACACCAAGGAUCAUUAAUUCAUUAAACAUAAGACAAAUUUGCCAUUUGUCUACGUACCUGUUUCAUAAAUGUCAGAAUGUUCUGGAAGAAGACACUUUGGAUACUUGACAUGACACCUGGACGCAUCCCGGUGUGUAGAAACGUAUUUUAACACUAAAACUUAAUUUUUGUAUUCUCAAAUGAGUUCGAAUAGACUCAAAAUCAUACGUGUGUAUUUAGUUAGUGAGUGGCUGAUACAGCAGCUACAAUCUCCAAGCUAGACAUAAUUAGUAGACUAGUUAGGUAGUUGUAUAUAACUGGGGAUGCCCCUAUUCACAUUUUUUGGUCUUUGUUUAGUCUUUUUAUGGUCUUGCCAAUCUGAUCCCAUCCAAUACCGAUACUUUUUUUUUUUAAAUAAGCUUUUGUCACAAACAUGAAUUUGUGGAAUUCAAUAUGGU